UACCAGCACCCCGAGUGGUCGGGACGAUUAUUGGGCCUAAAGCAUCCGUAGCCGGCCUUACAAGUCCUCCGUUAAAUCCAGCUGCUUAACAGAUGGGCUGCGGAGGAUACUAUAAGACUAGGAGGCAGGAGAGGCAAGCGGUACUCAGUGGGUAGGGGUAAAAUCCGUUGAUCCAUUGAAGACCACCAGUAGCGAAGGCGGCUUGCCAGAAUGCGCUCGACGGUGAGGGAUGAAAGCUGGGGAGCAAACCGG
rnacentral:rRNA from 1 species